rnacentral:lncRNA from 1 species
UUUAAUUUUUAAGAUUUAUUUAUUAUGUAUACAGUGUUCUGUCUUCAUAUUUGCCUGUAGUUCUUAACCACAAGAAGUUGCUGACUAUGGAACUAUGUCAGGCAGAAGAGAUUGCCAUGGAAGGAAUGCAUGUUUGCAACUAUUAUGCAACAACUACUUCAAGAUAUUGGGAUGCAGGCUCAGAAUAACUUGAAAGUGGAGUUUGGCCAGGGAUAGAGUUUGCCGGGCGAGUACAGCUCCAGGAAGAGCAGUGGAACUAACAUGACUGUAAAGGCCAUGAAUCAGGCUCCUCAGAAAACAUGACAGAUGGCUAUGGGCUGUACAAUGAACAAAAGGAGUGUGUGGAUCCGACAAAUAUCUUAGAAAUAAUAAUGAAAGAUUGAGUCCUUCCCAGUGAGUCCUCCACGGAGAACAAAAGACUAAAUCACUGGAUUUCAGUGUUGUUCUUUAAGUGAAAAGUAGACAUGCU